GAUCAUGGCUCAGAACGAACGCUGGCGGCGCGUUUAAGCAUGCAAGUCGAGCGGCAAGGGCCUUCGGGCCCCUAGAGCGGCGGACGGGUGAGUAACACGUGGACAAUCUGCCCCCCGGCCCGGGAUAGCCCAGGGAAACCUGGAUUAAUACCGGAUGAGACGGGACCCGCGAUGGCGGGACCCGGGAAAGGCGCUGCGGCGCCGCCGGGGGAUGAGUCUGCGUCCCAUUAGCUAGACGGCGGGGUAACGGCCCACCGUGGCGACGAUGGGUAGCCGGCCUGAGAGGGUGGACGGCCACAUUGGAACUGAGACACGGUCCAGACUCCUACGGGAGGCAGCAGCUAAGAAUCUUCCGCAAUGGGCGAAAGCCUGACGGAGCCGACGCCGCGUGAACGAAGAAGGCCGUGAGGUUGUAAAGUUCUUUUCGGGAGGGGGAACAACCGUGGCAGGGAAUGGCCGCGGGAUGACGUGAAUCCCGGAAUAAGCCCCGGCUAACUACGUGCCAGCCGCAGC
rnacentral:rRNA from 1 species